rnacentral:tRNA from 2 species
GCCGGGAUGGCGGAAUCGGUAGACGCAGCGGACUCAAAAUCCGCCGGUGGUAACACCGUGGGGGUUCGAGUCCCCCUCCCGGCACCA